rnacentral:ncRNA from 2 species
GGGAAGAACAAGUACCGGAGUAACUGCCGGUACCUUGACGGUACCUGACCAGAAAGCCACGGCUAACUACGUGCCAGCAGCCGCGGUAAUACGUAGGUGGCAAGCGUUGUCCGGAAUUAUUGGGCGUAAAGCGCGCGCAGGCGGUCCCUUAAGUCUGAUGUGAAAGCCCACGGCUCAACCGUGGAGGGUCAUUGGAAACUGGGGGACUUGAGUGCAGAAGAGGAGAGCGGAAUUCCACGUGUAGCGGUGAAAUGCGUAGAGAUGUGGAGGAACACCAGUGGCGAAGGCGGCUCUCUGGUCUGUAACUGACGCUGAGGCGCGAAAGCGUGGGGAGCGAACAGGAUUAGAUACCCUGGUAGUCCACGCCGUAAACGAUGAGUGCUAAGUGUUAGAGGGUUUCCGCCCUUUAGUGCUGCAGCAAACGCAUUAAGCACUCCGCCUGGGGAGUACGGCCGCAAGGCUGAAACUCAAAGGAAUUGACGGGGGCCCGCACAAGCGGUGGAGCAUGUGGUUUAAUUCGAAGCAACGCGAAGAACCUUACCAGGUCUUGACAUCCUCUGCCACUCCUGGAGACAGGACGUUCCCCUUCGGGGGAC